CCAUCGUCCGGUGAGAGAAGGCAUUGAGAGAGCGAAGCGAGAGAGAGAAAGGAAGAACCACCGUAGUUGUGCCACCGCCGUUCAAGCCCCGGUGGUGAAGAGUAAAGCACCGCCCAUGCUAGUGGAGGUCGACCGCGGCAUCGCUCGAUUUUGUGAUGACUCGAUGUCGCCGCAAUUUCUCACCGGAAUCCGGAAUCAGCCGAGGGUUCGCGCCACAUUGGACCGACCCUUUUCCCAUCGCCAUUCGCCGGUGAGAUACCUCCUAUCUAGUUUGUCGUGCUCUUCUCUCUCUAUUUCGCGGGGUCAUGCAUGAUUUAGAUCACUGCGGCGAGGUAUGGGCGUAAUCACGACGAGCUAGUCGACGGGUGGCACGCGGCACUGCCGUGUGUUGUGCCAAGAAAGAAGAAGGGGGCAUCGUCGAUCAGAGAACGAACAACCGUGAUUAAAUCUGGGCAUACCCCCUCUCUCCAUCCAACUAUGGCCGUAGAUCUGCAUGGGAGCGGUUGGAUUUCACCCCGGGUUAGAUGUCGCUCGCAUGUGAUCAGAACCACCUUAUCGGAAUCGUGCGGCUCAGAUAAAAACCUAUGUAUCGCUUUGUGGUAGGGUUGCGGUGGCCAUUGAUCCGACCGUGGAUGCCUCGGAUUCGAUCGCGGUCGUUUAAAGUUCGAACCCUUGAUCCCAGAUCUGGCGUCUCUGAUCGCAUCACGAUCCGAUCCAGGGUAGUUUUGAUCGUGGCCGUCGAAUUCUAAUCUGAUAGCCUUGGAUGCUUAGUACCCCUUCGACCGUGCCAUAAUGCAAAAG
rnacentral:lncRNA from 7 species